rnacentral:rRNA from 1 species
GAUGAACGCUGGCGGCGUGCCUAAUACAUGCAAGUCGAGCGAAUGGAUUAAGAGCUUGCUCUUAUGAAGUUAGCGGCGGACGGGUGAGUAACACGUGGGUAACCUGCCCAUAAGACUGGGAUAACUCCGGGAAACCGGGGCUAAUACCGGAUAAUAUUUUGAACUGCAUGGUUCAAAAUUGAAAGGCGGCUUCGGCUGUCACUUAUGGAUGGACCCGCGUCGCAUUAGCUAGUUGGUGAGGUAACGGCUCACCAAGGCAACGAUGCGUAGCCGACCUGAGAGGGUGAGUGGCCACACUGGGACUGAGACACGGCCCAGACUCCUACGGGAGGCAGCAGUAGGGAAUCUUCCGCAAUGGACGAAAGUCUGACGGAGCAACGCCGCGUGGGUGAUGAAGGCUUUCGGGUCGUAAAACUCUGUUGUUAGGGAAGAACAAGUGCUAGUUGAAUAAGCUGGCACCUUGACGGUACCUAACCAGAAAGCCACGGCUAACUACGUGCCAGCCGCCGCAGUAA